GACGAACGCUGGCGGCGUGCUUAAUACAUGCAAGUCGAACGGACAGGCCCUGCUUUUGUGGGGUGCUCGAGUGGCGAACGCGUGAGUAACACGUGAGUAACCUGCCCUUGAAUUUGGGAUAUCUUCAGGAAACUGGGGCUAAUACCGGAUAGGAGCUACUGCUGCAUGGUGGGGGUUGGAAAGUUUCGGCGGUUGGGGAUGGACUCGCGGCUUAUCAGCUUGAUUGUGGGGUAGUGGCUUACCAAGGCUUUGAAGGGUAGCCGGCCUGAGAGGGGGACCGGCCACAAUGGGACUGAGAUACGGCCCAGAAUCCUACGGGAGGCAGCAGGGGAGAAUAUUGCACAAUGGGCGGAAGCCUGAUGCAGCAACGUCGCGUGCGGGAUGACGGCCUUCGGGUUGUAAACCGCUUUCGCCUGUGACGAAGCGUGAGUGACGGUAAUUGGUAAAGAAGCACCGGCUAACUACGUG
rnacentral:rRNA from 1 species